rnacentral:rRNA from 1 species
AGUGAACGCUGGCGGUAGGCCUAACACAUGCAAGUCGAACGGCAGCACAGUAAGAGCUUGCUCUUACGGGUGGCGAGUGGCGGACGGGUGAGGAAUACAUCGGAAUCUACUUUUUCGUGGGGGAUAACGUAGGGAAACUUACGCUAAUACCGCAUACGACCUACGGGUGAAAGCAGGGGAUCUUCGGACCUUUCGCGAUGGAAUGAGCCGAUGUCGGAUUAGCUAGUUGGCGGGGUAAAGGCCCACCAAGGCGACGAUCCGUAGCUGGUCUGAGAGGAUGAUCCGCCACGCUGGAACUGAGACACGGUCCCGACUCCUACGGGAGGCAGCAGUGGGGAAUAUUGGACAAUGGGCGAAAGCCUGAUACAGCCAUACCGCGUGGAUGAAGAAGGCCUUCGGGUUGGAGAGCCCUUUUGUUGGGAGAGAAAAGCAGCAGGUUAAUACCCCACUGUUCUGACGGUACCCAAAGAAUAAGCACCGGCUAACUUCGUG